rnacentral:ncRNA from 1 species
GUGAUAGAGGCGCGGACUUUAUCAGUAACCCGGAUCAGGCGCGGAAACGCCGCGGGUGAAAGGAAAUUCCGCCGAAGCUUAUGCCGGAUUUCCGUUCGGCGUUUGCUGGGACAGCGCACAAUAUGCGCUGUACUGUCGCUUUUGCGGAGUGCUAUUCG